CAGCCGCCACGGGAAUACGUAGGGUGCAAGCGUUAAUCGGAAUUACUGGGCGUAAAGCGUGCGCAGGCGGUUUGUUAAGACAGAUGUGAAAUCCCCGGGCUCAACCUGGGACCUGCAUUUGUGACUGUAUAGCUAGAGUACGGUAGAGGGGGAUGGAAUUCCGCGUGUAGCAGUGAAAUGCGUAGAUAUGCGGAGGAACACCGAUGGCGAAGGCAAUCCCCUGGACCUGUACUGACGCUCAUGCACGAAAGCGUGGGGAGCAAACAGGAUUAGAUACCCGGGUAGUCCCUGUCUCUUAUAC
rnacentral:rRNA from 1 species